CAGCAACUGGUGCUAGGAGGGUGGUCAGA
rnacentral:piRNA from 1 species